UACGUAGGCAGCAAGCGUUGUUCGGAAUUAUUGGGCGUAAAGAGCUCGUAGGCGGUUCGUCGCGUCGAAUGUGAAAACCCGGGGCUCAACUCCGGGCCUGCAUUCGAUACGGGCGGACUAGAGUUCGGUAGGGGAGACUGGAAUUCCUGGUGUAGCGGUGAAAUGCGCAGAUAUCAGGAGGAACACCGGUGGCGAAGGCGGGUCUCUGGGCCGAUACUGACGCUGAGGAGCGAAAGCGUGGGGAGCGAACAGG
rnacentral:rRNA from 1 species